UACGGAGGGUGCGAGCGUUUAAUCGGAAUUACUGGGCGUAAAGCGUGCGUAGGUGGUUGAUUAAGUUAUCUGUGAAAUCCCUGGGCUUAACCUGGGCAGGUCAGAUGAUACUGGUUGACUCGAGUAUGGGAGAGGGUAGUGGAAUUUCCGGUGUAGCGGUGAAAUGCGUAGAGAUCGGAAGGAACACCAGUGGCGAAGGCGGCUACCUGGCCUAAUACUGACACUGAGGCACGAAAGCGUGGGGAGCAAACAGG
rnacentral:rRNA from 1 species